GACGAACGCUGGCGGCGUGCCUAAUACAUGCAAGUAGAACGCUGAAGAGAGGAGCUUGCUCUUCUUGGAUGAGUUGCGAACGGGUGAGUAACGCGUAGGUAACCUGCCUUGUAGCGGGGGAUAACUAUUGGAAACGAUAGCUAAUACCGCAUAACAAUGGAUGACACAUGUCAUUUAUUUGAAAGGGGCAAUUGCUCCACUACAAGAUGGACCUGCGUUGUAUUAGCUAGUAGGUGAGGUAAUGGCUCACCUAGGCGACGAUACAUAGCCGACCUGAGAGGGUGAUCGGCCACACUGGGACUGAGACACGGCCCAGACUCCUACGGGAGGCAGCAGUAGGGAAUCUUCGGCAAUGGGGGCAACCCUGACCGAGCAACGCCGCGUGAGUGAAGAAGGUUUUCGGAUCGUAAAGCUCUGUUGUAAGUCAAGAACGGGUGUGAGAGUGGAAAGUUCACACUGUGACGGUAGCUAACCAGAAAGGGACGGCUACCUACGU
rnacentral:rRNA from 1 species